rnacentral:rRNA from 1 species
GUUUGUUUUGUAAUAGUUUAUUAGUACUGUAGAGUAAUGUUGAAAUAUCUUGAAAAAUUAUUUUAUAAAAAGCAUACGUUUUUGUAGUACCUUUUGUAUCAGGGGUGAUUUAAUUUAUCUAAUGUAUAUUAAAU